AUGAGCCACCGCGCCUAGCCGCUAACAUCAUUCUUAAUGGUGAAGGGCUGAUUAAUUUGCCUAAGAUUGGGAAAAAGGCAAAAAUGUUCUUAGCAUUUCUGUUUAACAUCGUGCUAAAAGUCCUGGCCACUGUGAUGAGGCAAGAAACAGAAGUAAGAGGCAUACAGAUUGGAGAAAAUAAAACAGAACUUUCUCUAUUCACAAACAAUGUGAGUGUUUAUGUAGAAGAUUUGAAGGAAUCUGCAAAAAAACUGCUAGAACUAAUUAGCACAGUUAAAAUAUAGAAUGCAUGAUUAACAUAUAAAAAUCACAUUGCUAUAUGUUAGCAAUGAGCAAUUCAACGUCAUUUUUUUAUUUUAAUAUCACAGUUUUUAUUUAAACUGUACUUACAGUAACAAAUACAAGCAGAGUUAAGACCAAACACAGUUGGUCCUUGACAAAUAUAUAAAACAUAUAACUCAACUGAUGUAGCUCUCAGCUCUGCUAGAGAGCAGUGUACAGCAGCAAGCAGUUAGCAUAUGGGGGACUUCAGUCAUUGUGGCAGUUGGGGGUAAUUGGGUAGUUGACUGCUUAACUCAGGGAAUUGGAAUAUAUAUCUGUUAAUCGGGGUAGUUGGUUAAAUGGGUUGCUUAAGAGUUUCUAGUCUAUCUUGUUCUGCCCACUUCUUGGUCUUUCCAGCCCCUGGAAUUGUAUAGCAAAGCACUCCCUCACUCUCUGGAUCAUAUAGAUCUCAUGUUUAACUUCUUCAGAGUGUACAUUCUUUGUCCCUUAUUCAGCUUUGUAUUUUCAAUGUAAUAUUGCUUACACAGUUUUCUAACAUUCUGAGACUUAGUGAAGAUUUGCAAGUAUAGUACAAAGAACUACCCCUGCCCAGCUGUUUGAGAGUAAUUUACUGACCCGAGCGUCUUCAGUGUGGAGUGCUUGAGUUUGUGUUUCCCACAAACAAGGACAUUUCAUGUUAACUAUAAUUGAGCUCUCAGAAUCAGGAAGCUAAACGGGAUACAUAACUACCAUAUAAUCCUCAUACCCCAUUCAAGUUUUUUUAAAUGUCAACAUCAACAUUUUAAACGAAGUACUAUUUAUAAUAGUUGCCCCAAAAUAAAAUACUUCGGUUUAAGUCUAAUAAGAUAUCUGUGGAAUCUAUAUGCUAAAAACUAGAAACACUGAUUUAAAAAAUCGAAGAUCUGAAUAAAUGAAGAAAUACUGUUCAUGGAUUAGAAGACUCAUCCCUAGUUAUGAUUUCAAAUCUCCCUAGUAUAUCUAUAGUAUUAGUGAAUUCUAAGUCAACUCCCAAGCAAGACCUUUUGUAGAUAUAGACAAGAUUGUUGUAAAAUUUAGAUGAAAAGGCAAAGUAGCUUUGAAACAAAAAAUUGGAAGACUCAUCUUACUUGAUUUUAAGAUUUACUGUAAAGGUACAAGAAUUGAGAUACUGUGACACAAGAUGGUGUGACACAAGACGGUAACCACGUAGAUUGGUGAAAAAGAGUCCAGAAUUAAACCCUCACAAAUACAGUCAAUUGUUUUGUUGUUGUUGUUGUUGUUUGUUUAGAGACAGGAUCUUCUCACUGUGUCACCUAGACUGGAGUGCACUGUUGUGAUCAUGGUUCACUGCAGCCUCGAACUCCUGGGCUCAAGCCAUCUUUCUUGCCUCAGCCUCCUGAGUAGUUGGGACUACAGGCAUGUGCUACUGCCCUGGGCUAAUUUAUUUUUAUUUUGAGACAAGGUCUCACUUCGUUGCCCAGGCUGAAGUGCAGUGA
rnacentral:lncRNA from 1 species